rnacentral:snRNA from 1 species
GUGCUCGCUUCGGCAGCACAUAUACUAAAAUUG